rnacentral:misc_RNA from 1 species
GAUGAAGAACGCAGCGAAAUGCGAUAAGUAAUGUGAAUUGCAGAAUUCAGUGAAUCAUCGAAUCUUUGAACGCACAUUCACUCAUUAGUAUUCUAGUGAGUAUGCCUGUUCGAGCGUCAUUUCAACCCUUAAGCCUAGCUUAGUGUUGGGACUCUAUCCUAACCGGUAGUUCCCCAAAAUCAGUUGGCGGAGUUCAGUCGGCUCUGAGUGUAGUAAUUUUCUCUCGCUUUAGAAGUCUUCUGGAUUACGGCCAGAAAGAGACGAGUCUCGCAUCUCGGUGCGUUUCUCAACUUUUUUUUACAAUGGUUGACCUCGGAUCAGGUAGGAAUACCCGCUGAACUUAAGCAUAUCAAUAAGCGGAGGA